AUUGAACGCUGGCGGCAUGCUUUACACAUGCAAGUCGAACGGUAACAGGCCGCAAGGUGCUGACGAGUGGCGAACGGGUGAGUAAUGCAUCGGAACGUGCCCAGUCGUGGGGGAUAACUACUCGAAAGAGUAGCUAAUGCCGCAUACGAUCUAUGGAUGAAAGCGGGGGACCGUAAGGCCUCGCGCGAUUGGAGCGGCCGAUGUCAGAUUAGGUAGUUGGUGGGGUAAAGGCUCACCAAGCCAACGAUCUGUAGCUGGUCUGAGAGGACGACCAGCCACACUGGGACUGAGACACGGCCCAGACUCCUACGGGAGGCAGCAGUGGGGAAUUUUGGACAAUGGGCGCAAGCCUGAUCCAGCAAUGCCGCGUGCAGGAAGAAGGCCUUCGGGUUGUAAACUGCUUUUGUACGGAACGAAACGGCUCUGGUUAAUACCCGGGGCUAAUGACGGUACCGUAAGAAUAAGCACCGGCUAACUACGUG
rnacentral:rRNA from 1 species